rnacentral:ncRNA from 1 species
GGAUGUAAAAAUGCAUCGGUAGGGGAGCGUUCCGCCUUAGGGGGAAGCACCCGCGUGAGCGGGAGUAGACGAAGCGGAAGCGAGAAUGUCGGCUUGAGGAACGCAAACAUUGGUGGGAAUCCAAUGCCCCGAAAACCCAAGGGUUCCUCCGCAAGGUUCGUCCACGGAGGGUG